rnacentral:lncRNA from 1 species
ACACUCGGCUGGGUUCCCGCUCUGCGAGGGAAGGUCACAAUAGCUGCUCUAUCUGCAGAGGCGCCUGCCUCCUCCCUCCCUGGGUCUCAGAGAAGCAGAGAAAGAAGGGGGAGGGGCGCCGGCCGCCGACGGCGCCCAGGGCCGGGGGCCUCUCUUCUUGGGGAAGAGUUGCAGCGGUACUUGCAAGAGGAAGUUGGGUGGGGCAGGGUGGAAUAGCCUGCUGCACAGCAGGGGUUGGAGUGAGAAAUAAUUUAAGCCGAAGGAGAGAGUUCCUUGCAACCAGGAAAAACUCAGGAUCCAGUCUGCAGUAGAGGGCCUAGAAUGGAGCUAACCAGGAAAUUGCAGAAGCUGCUGAGGAACAGGCCUUGAAGAGUAGUCCUGGCACUGGUAAGGAGGACUUGUGACAAAACAUGAGGGUUUUUUGUUUGGAGAUUGAACUCAGAACCAGGUUCAUACUAAGAUACACAAGGGCCCAGUGGGAAAAUGGGUCGAGUGAGCGGCACCAGAGUCCCUCGCUCCAGCCUGCCGCCUCUUGGGACAGCGACGAUGCUCUCCUCAGCACGCACGGCAGAGAACACACAAAGAAAGCCGGGACCUGUUCUCGGCAGUUUCGAGGAGGAGGCUGGUGAGGACCCCGAGGCGGAGUGCCCCAGCCCCGCAGGAACAAUAGCUGCAGGCGGCAGUGCGGAGUGCGGCACAAAGCCCGCCGGAUCCACGCCGUCACCGGUUCCUCCUACUUCAGAGCAAGUCUGGGCCAGCUGGGAGCCGACCAGAAACCGCCAGCGGAGGAGACUCGGGCGCACUGGCUGGGUACUUGCAGAGGGCGUGACCCGCGGUGUUCCCACCCCCACCCCCACCCCCGCCUCACUACAGCCUGGGCUGGAGGGGAGUGCUGGUGGCCACCUCCUUGCCUUGGGGACAGGCCGGCUGCGCCAGCCCUCAGACUUCUCUGGGCACCCACGCCUGCCCCUGCCCCACAGUGACCCUGCAUUCCCUGUCCCUCUCCACACUGGCCCCAGUGACCCGCUGCUCUGUUCCCAGAAAGGGAUUUAUCUGACUCUGAAGGCAGGAGAAAAAGCCCACGAGGCCAGAGGGUUUUUGCAAACUCUUAAGUCUUAUUUGGCUGCGGGAGUAUUUGUGUGGGAGGAAGACCACUGUUGAACUUGAAAUAAACUUGAAUGUCAUUUAUAGUAACAAUAAACAUAUACUGAAAACACCAGUCACAAUGAUGUUUCUUCUCUUGGAGUGUAGCAGCAAGACUCCUAAGUACUUUUACCUCAGCCCUCAGGUUAAUUUUAGAAACAUCAUAGGGCUAAACUGCAA